GACGAACGCUGGCGGCGUGCUUAACACAUGCAAGUCGAACGGUGAAGCCCUUCGGGGUGGCUCAGUGGCGAACGGGUGAGUAACACGUGAGCAACCUGCCCCUGGCUCUGGGACAACCACUGGAAACGGUGGCUAAUACUGGAUACGACCCGCCUCGGCAUCGAGUGUGGGUGGAAAGUUUUUCGGCUGGGGAUGGGCUCGCGGCCUAUCAGCUUGUUGGUGAGGUGAAGGCUCACCAAGGCGACGACGGGUAGCCGGCCUGAGAGGGCGACCGGCCACACUGGGACUGAGACACGGCCCAGACUCCUACGGGAGGCAGCAGUGGGGAAUAUUGCACAAUGGGCGAAAGCCUGAUGCAGCGACGCCGCGUGAGGGAUGACGGCCUUCGGGUUGUAAACCUCUUUCAGCUCCGAAGAAGCGAAAGUGACGGUAGGAGCAGAAGAAGCACCGGCUAACUACGUG
rnacentral:rRNA from 1 species